GAAGGGACCUAGCGUAGUUCGGAAUUACUGGGCUUAAAGAGUUCGUAGGUGGUUAAAAAAGUUGGUGGUGAAAUCCCUGAGCUUAACUCAGGAACUGCCAUCAAAACUUUUUAGCUAGAGUGUGAUAGAGGAAAGCAGAAUUUCUAGUGUAGAGGUGAAAUUCGUAGAUAUUAGAAAGAAUACCAAUUGCGAAGGCAGCUUUCUGGACCAUUACUGACACUGAGGAACGAAAGCAUGGGUAGCGAAGAGGAUUAGAUACCCUCGUAGUCCAUGCCGUAAACGAUGUGUGCUAGACGUUGGAAAUUUAUUUUCAGUGUCGCAGCAAAAGCAUUAAGCACACCGCCUGGGGAGUACGACCGCAAGGUUAAAACUCAAAUGAAUUGACGGGGACCCGCACAAGCAGUGGAGCAUGUGGUUUAAUUCGAAGAUACGCGCAGAACCUUACCAACACUUGACAUGUUCGUCGCGACUUUAAGAGAUUAAAGUCUUCGGUUCGGCCGGACGAAACACAGGUGCUGCAUGGCUGUCGUCAGCUCGUGUCGUGAGAUGUUGGGUUAAGUCCCGCAACGAGCGCAACCCUUACUUUUAGUUGCCACCAUUUAGUUGAGCACUCUGAAAGAACUGCCAGUGAUAAGCUGGAGGAAGGUGGGGAUGACGUCAAGUCCUCAUGGCCCUUAUGUGUUGGGCUACACACGUGCUACAAUGGCACUCACAAUAGGAAGCAAAGAUGUGAGUCUAAGCAAAUCCUAAAAAAGUGCCUCAGUUCGGAUUGUACUCUGCAACUCGAGUACAUGAAGCUGGAAUUGCUAGUAAUCGCGGAUCAGCGCGCCGCGGUGAAUACGUUCCCGGGUCUU
rnacentral:rRNA from 1 species